GAUAAAAGAUUUUACUACUCGGCUUUCAAGUUCGGGGAGGGGAAUAUUUGGUAUGCACUUUCUAAUAUUAAUUGGUGCAUUCCAUAUCAUAAACUAACUACUAAACUUAGAUGGGUUAAUAUUUUACUAUUAAUUAAUGCUUCUGUUUAUGACUUAUGAUCUUAAAUUGAUUCAGGAGGUUAAAGGUUUUCCCAAAAGGAAAUGACGCUCAAAAGGGCAAGAACCUGUCCCUAUUUCUUGAGCUAGUAGACGGGGAAAACCUUCCACUUAAGAAAACAGUUUAUGCAGACUACAAGCUGCUAGUAGUGGACCAACUGCAUGGCAAAGACUGCGAGAAAACAGCUAACCACAGCUUUUCUGCCGCAAGCAAGGUCUGGGGAUACCCUGCCUUCAUGUUAUUAGGGGAUCUAAACGAAGCCUCCAACGGCUUCAUAAAAAAUUUGAUUGUUGAAGCUCAAAUUCUUGUCAUGUCUGAGACUAAGGUGUACUCGGCCUGAACUCUCCAUAAGGGUUUCAUAAAAAUUAUGCUUUAGUUGCUGAAGUUCAACUUUUUCGUGUCCCUGAUCACCAAGGUUUUCUCGUAAACUCAGUUAGCAUUUAAGUUUGGAACGGUUAUAAUUAGAAUCCAGUUGGAGACACUAUAAUAUUUCCAAGUUGGGAGAAUAAAUUGCAUUAAUAUUGUACCUUAUUUGGAUGUGUUUUUUUUCUUUUUUUUUUUUAAUGUAAGCCAAUUGAAUAAUAUUGAAUGAUGCCAUACUUAUGGCAUGCUAGUCAUGUAUCUGAAGUUAUGGCUUGAUUUUCGAAUUUUAAGUUUUUUAAAGCUAAUGCAUGCCAA